ACGUCAUCCCCACCUUCCUCCCCGUUAUCCGAGGCGGUUUCGCCAGAGUGCCCAACUGAAUGAUGGCAACUGACAAUAAGGGUUGCGCUCGUUGCGGGACUUAACCCAACAUCUCACGACACGAGCUGACGACAGCCAUGCAGCACCUAUACAGCAGCCCUUGCGGGAAGGGAUGUUUCCACCCCGGUCCACUGCAUUUCGAGCCCAGGUAAGGUUCUUCGCGUUGCGUCGAAUUGAACCACAUGCUCCACCGCUUGUGCGGGCCCCCGUCAAUUCCUUUGAGUUUCAGUCUUGCGACCGUACUCCCCAGGCGGAUUGCUUAUCGCGUUAGCUUCGGCACGUUGGGAUUGGGUACCCAACACACCAAGCAAUCAUCGUUUAGGGCUAGGACUACCAGGGU
rnacentral:misc_RNA from 1 species